CUUUUAAUGCCAGCUCUGCGUCGUUGAUACGGUCUGUCUUCUCCUCUUCUGCGCUUGCCGGUGCUGGUUCUGUCGGGUCCGCCAUUGAGACACCCGACACCGGAGGCGAGGAACUGAAGGAGGGAGGGGAUGUGCGAUUGCACAUGGUUGGCAGUGGAUGUGGUCCCUACGAUGAUGAUGCGGCGAGGUGCAUUCGUUCAGCCUGGACACUCUCUGAGGUUGACUGGACCGAACACACCAGACAGCCUGUCAAAAGAAACCGGCUCGCUGUUGAUCCUCAUGUCCUGGAUGCAUCCCACAAAGGACGAUGUGACGGGGAGCUCCUGUUGCACUGACAUCUCUGCAGCAGGAAGGUGCAUUGGGGUGGACUGACAGCCUGAUCCUGCCUUUGGAUAUGUAUAAAGCGAGGUGAGAGCGCCCUCCUCUGGUAGCAGCAAAGAACAGCAGGCCCUCAGCAGCUCGGGUCCUGACGUCCAGAGAAAAGUGGGGCCUGGGGAGGAUCAAGAGGGACAUCAUCUGUUGUGUUGUGCUUGUGCCAGCUCUGACAUAACUGUAGCAUUAUUCUAGAGAUACUGGACCCAACUAAACACACUCUGAAAUCGAGACAUCUUACAUUCAUGUGUAUUGUGAAAUCGUGCAGUGAGGUAAGACAGGCAGCUCACCUGGGC